rnacentral:misc_RNA from 1 species
AAGUCGUAACAAGGUUUCCGUAGGUGAACCUGCGGAAGGAUCAUUACAGAGCUCAUGCCCUUCGGGGUAGAUCUCCACCCUUGCAUACCUUACCCCUGUUGCUUUGGCGGCCGCCUCGCUCGCGAGCCACCGGCCCUCGGCUGGUGCGUGGCCGCCAGAGAACCCUCAACCCUCUCAUCAGCGUCGUCUGAGUCACAUCAUAAUUAUUAAAACUUUCAACAACGGAUCUCUUGGUUCUG